rfam:Rattus norvegicus chromosome 4, whole genome shotgun sequence.
GGGGAUUUAGCUCAGGGGUAGAGCGCUUGCCUAGCGAGCACAAGGCCCUGGGUUCGGUCCCCAGCUCCG